UGGCUCUUUGUCCCCUUGAUUGUGGCUCUUUCACAAAAUACCGUGUGCGGGCAUGCAUGUAAAGUGCGAUUGAAACUUCAUGGCCCAUGUGCAGAAGUUGGUUUUUUGAGGAAAAAA